rnacentral:rRNA from 1 species
CCCUUAGAUGUUCUGGGCCGCACGCGCGCUACACUGAUUCAUGCAACGAGUUUUGUCCUUGGCUGAAAGGCCUGGGUAAUCUUUGAACGUGAAUCGUGCUGGGGAUAGAUGAUUGCAAUUAUUCAUCUUCAACGAGGAAUUCCUAGUAAACGCAAGUCAUCAGCUUGCAUUGAUUACGUCCCUGCCCUUUGUACACACCGCCCGUCGCACCUACCGAUUGAAUGGUCCGGUGAAAUCUUCGGAUCUGAGAGAUGUUGGAUUAAUUUCUGACGCCUUUUGGAAAAGUCGCUUAAACCUUAUCAUUUAGAGGAAGGUGAAAUCGUAACA